rnacentral:rRNA from 1 species
CCUACGGGUGGCUGCAGUGGGAAAUAUUUCACAAUGGGGGAAACCCUGAUGCAGCGACGCCGCGUGAGUGAAGAAGUAAUUCGUUAUGUAAAGCUCUAUCAGUAUGGAAGAAAAUUACGGUACCUGAGUAAGAAGCCGCGGCUAACUACGUGCCAGCAGCCGCGGUAAUACGGAGGGAGCAAGCGCGAUCCGGAUUGACUGGGUGUAAAGGGAGCGGAGACGGCAGUGCAAGUCUGGAGUGAAAGGCGGGGGCUCAACCCCCGGACUGCGCUGGAAACUGUACGGCUGGAGUAAAGGAGAGGUAAGUGGAAUUCCUGGUGUAGCAGUGAAAUGCGUAGAUAUUAGGAGGAACACCAGUGGCGAAGGCGGCUUACUGGACUGUAACUGACGUUGAGGCACGAAGGCGUGGGGAGCGAAAGGGAUUAGAUACCCUGGUAGUC